AAUUGCAUCUCAAGUGUUUGGAUCCUUUCAACAUCCACAUGCAAGAUGAAGCUUAAAAGUUCAAAUAAACUGCAAAGUUUCAGUGACGUUUGGACUUGAAGCUGGUGGAUUCCAGCAGACCUUCCCUUCAGGCUCUCUGGGUCGUCUGAGGACUCAUUCUCAUUCUGCUGCUGCCAGGUUUGGGAGAAUGUAAAGUCUACCCAAUAAAACAAUGUAAACAUCAAUACCUAAAGAGACGUGACAUUAGAACAGCUCAAUGACAGACAAAAGGGAAACUGGCGUCUCUCUGGCAGACGUCUGCCUUCGGUGUGAAGGAGGAAGAAACAGCAGCUGUGGUUUUUCACACUUGUCAUCAGAUGGAUGAAUUCUGAGGACAGGAAGUGGAGUUAGUGAGGAGGGGCGGAGACUGAAAGCGGAGGUGAGAAGAGCGUCGGUGUCCGUCGACGUUUCACAGAGUGAAGAUGAAGCUGGUGCUGAGCAGCCUGCUGCUCGCCUCUCUCUGCACCCCCUCGUCCUGGAGUGAUUCAUCAGGAACGCUUCGGGUGACACAGAGUCCUGAUGUUUCCGUCCAGGAGGGGGGGACGGCAAACAUCUCCUGCUGCUGGACGGGGGGCAUUGAAGGAGUUUGGGUUUCCAUCAAGAUGAAGCCCACAAACAUGAAGAACAAUACAAAUUCAACAAUUCUAUUAACAGAAAAUCACAAGGGUAAUUCAACUAAUUGCUCAGAUUGGAUCAUUAAGAGUGCCUCAAUAGAGGAUUCUGGGAUAUACAUCUGUAAAGUGACAGUGUACAUACCCACUUUGAUUGAGACUGAGGGAAAAGGUACAGUGGUCACAGUUACACCUAAAGGAGGAGAAGAGAAAGAAGAUGGAAGAGAAGGUUCUUCAGGCAGUCUUCCUGUAAUAAUCGGACUGGCUGUUGUGGGUCCGCUGCUGCUCAUCGCUCUCACCUGCUUCUUCACGGUUCUGCGAAGGAAACGAGCACAAGCAGCGCGGCUGAUCUAUGAAACCCCCCACGUUGACUCGGACUUGGACAAACACAGCACCACCUCCUCCACGGGCUCGUCGCAGUGGCGCCAGGUGGUCGUGUACGAGUCGGUCGACUACUUUCAGCACGGGCAGACAAAAGAAAGCCAAUGAGGAGCCAUUGUGGAAAGCUCCGCCGCCGCCGCCGCCGCCGCUUUCCAGCUUGUAAAUAUUGUAAAAUAACAGCUAAGCUCUGUAAAGACUUCCACGUUUGUUCCUUUUUUUUUUUUUUUUGCAUUUUUCUAUAAACUGGCAGCUCUGGUAUCAGUUUGUGGUCUUGCUUGUUUUCUUUAAAAAUUGAUUAGAAAGAGGAAGUGGGUUAAACUGCUCACUGAAGGGUCUUGAUUCUGCAGUGACAGGCGCCAGUUUCACAAUCGCUCGCAGAGAGCGCGGCGCGUGGAAAGUGUGGUGUGGCGGGGUCACGGCAUAAUAGGUCAAGCCCAGGAAGUGGAAAGAGCGCCUGUGACGGGCGAAGCCUCUGCUUAAGAUGCAACGUCUCGGGGCGGUAGAUGUAGAAACAGCUGCACACUGACGCUCACAUUUUCCACAUUGUCCUCACAACGCAUUGUUUUUAACGCUCACGUUAAACAAGCUGCGCAAGAAACUUUAACUUCAUGUUUUAAACUGGUUUUUCACCACAUUUACCUAUUUUUGCACAGUACACACUCGUAUACAUGUUUACUCUUCAGCCGCUCUGCAGUGGCGUCCUUCAGCUUCAAGAAAAUUCUGUGCAAAUAAACUUUUUUUCGAUCUUAUUGUCAAAAGGACUGAUUGCACGACUCUGAUUCGUGGCUGAACAAAACUGAAAACUUUAAAAAAAAAAAAAAAAGCAAAAAAUUGAUAAAAUGACAAAAGUGACCAAAAAAAAAAGGGUUAAACAAGCUAAAAAAUAUAAAUAAAUAAAAUGUAAAAUAGAAGUCGUAGAGUUGGUUGGGUGAAUGUAACUGAGAAUCUCAGCUUCCAUGACGACAUGCUUCGUUCUUGCACUUAUGUUUCUGAAUAGUUUUCACGUUGACACAGCAACGUUCCGAAAAACAACAUCCGUCGGCACGGAAACUUUCGGCAAACCCAAACCACAAACAGACCUUACUCUGUUUUGACUUUAAAAUGUCGCUGUGAAAACAAGGCCGUACUUUUGGGGUUAUUUAAGUAACCGCCAUUUGCUCUUCUUCUAAAUUACAGCGAUCAAGAUUGAGGUGCAGUUUUUGAGGGUAUUUCAUACCAGACCUAACAUACAUUUAUUUUGAAGCCCAAAUUAUCAUAUUCAAUUGGUACCUUUUGAAUUUAGCGUCUGUUAAAAUGUUGCUGUCACCUCAGAACGUUUCCUCACCUGGCUCACCGUGACUUUUGUUUGCCUAUUUCAUUCUAACUAGAGAUGUUUGAUACCACUUUUUUUUUUUUUCAGGACGAUACCGAGUACGAAUACUCCAUUUUCCUUACUCACCGAUACCGAGUACUCAUACAAAUACUUUUGAUACAUAACAUUUCAAAUAAUGCAAUGACAGAUCUUUUUUGAAAAAUGACUUUCAUUUCUAAAAAAAAAAAAAAAAAAAAAAAAAAAAAGCAGCACAGGCUCUCUGCUUAAGUCCAAAAUAAUAGCAGUCUGAGUUUAAGUGAAAAAUAAAGCAAACAACUCUUUGAGUAUUACACCUUUUUAAAUGAAAUUAAGUGCAAGAUAAAACAAUUUCCUGGAGUUUUCA
ensembl:lncRNA